CGCGUAGGUGGGCUAGCCAGUCAGAUGUGAAAGCCCGGGGCUCAACUCCGGAACGGCAUUUGAAACUACUAGCCUUGAGGAUAGGCGGAGAAGACGGAAUUCCACGUGUAGCGGUGAAAUGCGUAGAUAUGUGGAAGAACACCGGUGGCGAAGGCGGUCUUCUAGCUUAUUCCUGACACUGAGGCGCGAAAGCAAGGGGAGCGAACAGGAUUAGAUACCCUGGUAGUCC
rnacentral:rRNA from 1 species